rnacentral:rRNA from 1 species
GAUGAACGCUAGCUACAGGCUUAACACAUGCAAGUCGAGGGGAAACGACAUUGAAGCUUGCUUCGAUGGUCGUCGACCGGCGCACGGGUGAGUAACGCGUAUCCAACCUGCCUCUGACCAAGGGAUAACCCGUCGAAAGUCGGCCUAAUACCUUAUGCAGUCGUCGGAAGUCAUCUGAUGACGACGAAAGAUUUCAUCGGUGAGAGAUGGGGAUGCGUCUGAUUAGCUUGUUGGCGGGGUAACGGCCCACCAAGGCAACGAUCAGUAGGGGUUCUGAGAGGAAGGUCCCCCACAUUGGAACUGAGACACGGUCCAAACUCCUACGGGAGGCAGCAGUGAGGAAUAUUGGUCAAUGGGCGAGAGCCUGAACCAGCCAAGUAGCGUGCAGGAUGACGGCCCUAUGGGUUGUAAACUGCUUUUAUGCGGGGAUAAAGUGAGGGACGUGUCCUUCAUUGCAGGUACCGCAUGAAUAAGGACCGGCUAAGUCCGUG